ACCUGUACAGCCCAUCACAUGCUAGUCACGUGGGCUUUUUUUAAAAACAAGUGAAACUGGUUCUUUUGGUUAACCAGUGAAAAUAAGGAAAAAAAAGCUCCCGCGCGUUCAAAACCUAGGCUGCACACAGAUCGAUUUCGUCUAUCUCCUCCUCCAUAGCUUUGCACAGCCACAGCUCUAUUUCGGUGAAGUCACAGCUGCACAGCUUCGUACAGCCUGAAGAAGCUCCCCCCACUUCGUCUUCUCCAUCUGAGGAGCAUAUUUCAACCAAAACCCAGAAACCCACUUCGUCUUCUCCAGCUGCUUCCUCCAUCUCGGCAGUGGCAAACUCAACAUCAGCAACUUUCUUACGUGUUGUUGGUAGUGAGUUGAUUCAGAAGUACUUGGGGGAUGGUCCGAAAUUAGUGAGGGAACUCUUUAGGGUUGCUGAUGACCUCUCACCCUCCAUUGUCUUCAUCAACGAAAUUGAUGCAGUUGGUACAAAGAGGUAUGAUGCCCAUUCAGGUGGUGAACGUGAAAUUCAGAGGACCAUGUUGGAGUUACUAAACCAGUUAGAUGGUUUUGAUUGAAGAGGAGAUGUCAAGGUGAUCUUGGCAACAAAUAGAAUUGAGAGUCUUGACCCAGCCUUGCUUCGUCCUGGCCGAAUAGAUAGGAAGAUUGAAUUCCCUCUUCCUGAUAAAAAAACAAGGAGGCGCAUCUUCCAGAUUCACACAUCCAGGAUGACGUUGGCUGAUGAUGUCAACUUAGAAGAAUUUGUUAUGACCAAGGAUGAGUUCUCUGGGGCUGAUAUAAAGGCAAUAUGUACUGAAGCUGGUUUGCUUGCUUUGAGAGAGCGCCGUAUGAAGGUGACACAUAUAGACUUCAAGAAGGCAAAGGAAAAGGUGAUGUUCAAGAAGAAAGAAGGGGUUCCGGAAGGGCUCUAUAUGUGUUAGGAAACUAUAUAUGAAAUAGUAGAAAAUAAAAAGGUAAAAAAUAUAUAAAU